GGGUUGUGAGGUUAAGCGACUAAGCGUACACGGUGGAUGCCCUGGCAGUCAGAGGCGAUGAAGGACGUGCUAAUCUGCGAUAAGCGCCGGUAAGGUGAUAUGAACCGUUAUAACCGGCGAUUUCCGAAUGGGGAAACCCAGUGUGAUUCGUCACACUAUCAUUAACUGAAUCCAUAGGUUAAUGAGGCGAACCGGGGGAACUGAAACAUCUAAGUACCCCGAGGAAAAGAAAUCAACCGAGAUUCCCCCAGUAGCGGCGAGCGAACGGGGAGGAGCCCAGAGCCUGAAUCAGCAUGUGUGUUAGUGGAAGCGUCUGGAAAGGCGCGCGAUACAGGGUGACAGCCCCGUACACAAAAGCGCAUAUGCUGUGAGCUCGAUGAGUAGGGCGGGACACGUGGUAUCCUGUCUGAAUAUGGGGGGACCAUCCUCCAAGGCUAAAUACUCCUGACUGACCGAUAGUGAACCAGUACCGUGAGGGAAAGGCGAAAAGAACCCCGGCGAGGGGAGUGAAAAAGAACCUGAAACCGUGUACGUACAAGCAGUGGGAGCACAGGUUUACCUGUGUGACUGCGUACCUUUUGUAUAAUGGGUCAGCGACUUAUAUUCUGUAGCAAGGUUAACCGUAUAGGGGAGCCGUAGGGAAACCGAGUCUUAACCGGGCGUUAAGUUGCAGGGUAUAGACCCGAAACCCGGUGAUCUAGCCAUGGGCAGGUUGAAGGUUGGGUAACACUAACUGGAGGACCGAACCGACUAAUGUUGAAAAAUUAGCGGAUGACCUGUGGCUGGGGGUGAAAGGCCAAUCAAACCGGGAGAUAGCUGGUUCUCCCCGAAAGCUAUUUAGGUAGCGCCUCGUGAAUUCAUCUCCGGGGGUAGAGCACUGUUUCGGCUAGGGGGCCAUCCCGGCUUACCAACCCGAUGCAAACUGCGAAUACCGGAGAAUGUUAUCACGGGAGACACACGGCGGGUGCUAACGUCCGUCGUGAAGAGGGAAACAACCCAGACCGCCAGCUAAGGUCCCAAAGUCAUGGUUAAGUGGGAAACGAUGUGGGAAGGCCCAGACAGCCAGGAUGUUGGCUUAGAAGCAGCCAUCAUUUAAAGAAAGCGUAAUAGCUCACUGGUCGAGUCGGCCUGCGCGGAAGAUGUAACGGGGCUAAACCAUG
rnacentral:rRNA from 1 species